rnacentral:lncRNA from 1 species
GUUUAUAUAUUCAGCAUCAGAGGUUAUAUGCUGCAGAAUUUGUGACGAAGCAGAGUUCGAAAGCUGUAAAUCAUGAGAAACUCCAUGUUCAUGUUCAGGAACCGUAAAGGUUUGGUGCUCCUGCCAUGGGAAAAGUUGUUUUUUUGAUACAUGUUAUGCAUUUAUCGUCUGCUAAAAGGAAAAUUCAAAUUUCUCAUGACAACUACAACUAAAAGCUUGGCGGUAAUGAUGUGAAACAUUUAAUGGAGUGGGUUGUACUUGUUGGAACUAGACCAAAGGCGAGUCCUAUGAAUGAGUGGCGGCCACCAUGGCGCUUAACUACGAUUUCUCCGAACGUCACCAAACGAACCGAGUGGCGUCCACCGUGGGACGUUCGUUCGUGUUUAUCCCGAUUUUCACCUUGAGGACAAGGUGAAUUCGAGCGGGGUGGAAUGAUACGUACCCGCAAUGUUAUACAUGGAUCUCAUUCAUAUAACUCCAUGUGACUAGCACAUGUUAUU